GCGCGCUCCGAUUGGACCCUGGGGUGGAAAGUUGUACCGCUGAUGGUGAUUUUUCUACACAUAAGCGUAUAGCUUUUCCCCUUUGGUUCCAAUCACGACGAUC
rnacentral:miRNA from 15 species